ensembl:snRNA U6 U6 spliceosomal RNA
GUACUUGCUUCAUUGGUAUAUGUAGUAAAAUCAGACUGAUAUGGAGAAGGAAUAGCAUGAGCCCCUCUGCAAGGAGGAUGCUCAAAUUCAAGACAUUCUCUAUAUUUUU